CGAACCAAGCGGCCACCUCUCGCCCCCAGUCCGCCGCCAUCACUCGUCCCCAAUCCGCCUCCUCCCCUCCUAGAAUCCACGUCCUCUCUCGAUUUCCCCUCCACGGCCUCCUCUCGAUUUGCACUCCGAGAGCUCUGAUGGCGACGGCGGUCGGACUGAAGUUGGGCGACAGUGAGCAGGACGGGAACAGCUCGUCGUCUCGUGGACGGCCGGGGGCUGCGCGACGGCCGAUCCCCAUCGAUGGCGGCGGCGGUCGGACUUUAGUGGGGCGGCAGCGAGCAGGACGGUAACCGCUGGUCGUCUCGUGGACGGCUGAUCCCCGCCGUCUACCGGAGAUUCGUCGGUGCACAUCGAUCUGGCUACUGUGCCCCUCCAGUGGAAGCUGCACAACCCCGCUAUGUCCUCAUCUUCUCGGAAAGGGCAACUUACCAUCGGGCUCGCCUCCUGCUAAUUUCCAAGGACGAUCCUGAUGAACAUGCUGAAGAAACACACAUGCUCUCCACCUGGAGAACACUUUUAGGAUGUGCUGAGUUUUUAUAGAGCGCCUCAAGGAUGUGCUGAGUUUUUAUAGAGCGCAUCAAGGAUGUGCUACAAGAGGGGAAGGUUUUGUAUCAGGAAAUUCAUGUGCAACCCGUCUGUAGAGCGCCUUUUCAUGGUUCAGUUCACGAAGUUUAUCGUUGUUGAAGAGAGGCCUGGGUUGGAAGAUGGUUGGAAGACAACUACUCCAGUUGACAAGGAGAACAAUGAAAGGAACUAUUCUGAAGGGCAAAGAAGUAAAGCUGAAAGCUACAAGGAAGCAAUGGAGCAAUUUGAGAACGUGGCCACAGAUCUUUCGCGAGAUGCUAAAAAGGUGAUAAGAAAACAAAAGGAACACAAGAAGUUGUAGUAACUGGUGCAUUGUUUUGGUCUUCCCAAGGUUGUAAAAAGCUUGGAAUGAAUCAGGGCCCCAAUCAUACCUACAACUGAUGAAGUUUUAUGUACAUACCUAAGCUCCUGUGUUUUAUUUCUAUAUUGGGUACUGUAUGACCCUGUUUUGCUACCACUCCCUUUUGGGUGAACCUAACUAACAAACAAUGUAUUAGUUCUACUCUAUUAGCUUAUUGCUAUAAGAAAUUGC